rnacentral:rRNA from 1 species
CAGUAGCCGCGGUAAUACGAAGGGUGCAAGCGUUACUCGGAAUUACUGGGCGUAAAGCGUGCGUAGGUGGUGGUUUAAGUCCGUUGUGAAAGCCCUGGGCUCAACCUGGGAAUUGCAGUGGAUACUGGGUCACUAGAGUGUGGUAGAGGAUAGUGGAAUUUCCGGUGUAGCAGUGAAAUGCGUAGAGAUCGGAAGGAACAUCUGUGGCGAAGGCGACUAUCUGGGCCAACACUGACACUGAGGCAUGAAAGCGUGGGGAGCAAACAGGAUUAGAUACCCCUGUAGUCCCUGUCUCUUAUAC